UGCGUAACGCGUGGGAAUCUGCCCUUGGGUUCGGAAUAACAGUUGAAAUGACUGCUAAUACCGGAUGAUGUCUUCGGACCAAAGAUUUAUCGCCCAGGGAUGAGCCCGCGUAGGAUUAGCUUGUUGGUGAGGUAAGAGCUCACCAAGGCGACGAUCAGUAGCUGGUCUGAGAGGAUGAUCAGCCACAUUGGGACUGAGACACGGCCCAA
rnacentral:rRNA from 1 species